AUUCCAAUCGAACUCGGAGAUAGCUGGUUCUCCCCGAAAUAGCUUUAGGGCUAGCCUCAUGUUAGAUAUCCGGAGGUAAAGCACUGAAUGGCCUAGCGUCCGAGAGGAUAGCGAAGCCUAUCAAACUAAGAAUGCCGGAAUAUUGAUGCAUGGGAGUCAGACAGUGUGAGAUAAAUCUCAUUGUCAAAAGGGAAACAGCCCAGAUCUACAGCUAAGGUCCCAAAUUGUAUCUAAGUGGAAAACGAUGUGGAAAUACGCAGACAACCAGGAUGUUGGCUCAGAAGCAGCCACUCAUUUAAAGAGUGCGUAAUAGCUCACUGGUCGAGCGUCUCUGCGCGGAAAAUUUAACGGGGCUAAGAUACAAACCGAAGCUUAGGCUGCACUUUUAGUGCGGGGUAGGGGAGCGUUGUGUAAGCGGAGAAACAGUAGCGUAAGCGGCUGUGGAGUUUACAGAAGUGAGAAUGCCGGAAUGAGUAGCGCGAAUGAUGUGAGAAUCAUCAUGGCCGGAAACCUCAGGUUUUUGGAGGAAGGUUCGUCCGCUCCAAGUUAGGCGGGAGCUAAGGUGAGGCCGAAAGGCGUAGCCGAUGCACAGACGGUAGAGAUUCCGUCCCCACCGAAAGAUUUAAGCGCAGGGACACUUUUAGAAGGUCGGAGCCAGGUGUUGGUUCUGGUAGAGAUCGAGGGAAAUUUAGUACCGAAGUCCGGCUGGAUAAGAGGCGAGAAAAGCUGCGUGUAUAUCUAAGGUGCCCGUACCGCAAACCGACACAGGUAGGUAGGAAGAAGAUUCUAAGGCCAACGGGAGAAGGGUUGUUAAGGAACUCGGCAAGUUGACCCCGUAACUUCGGAAUAAGGGGUGCUCAUGAAAGUGAGCCGCAGAGAAUAGGCCCAGGCAACUGUUUACCAAAAACACAGGUUUGUGCUAAAUCGAAAGAUGACGUAUACGAGCUGACGCCUGCCCGGUGCUGGAAGGUUAAAAGGAGAUGUGCAAGCAUUGAAUUGAAGCCCCAGUGAACGGCGGCCGUAACUAUAACGGUCCUAAGGUAGCGAAAUUCCUUGUCAGGUAAGUUCUGACCCGCAUGAAAGGCGUAAUGAUUUGGGCACUGUCUCAACAGCCCGCCCGGCGAAAUUGUAGUACCGGUGAAGAUGCCGGUUACCCGCGACAAGACGGAAAGACCCCAUGGAGCUUUACUGUAGCCUGAUAUUGGGUUUCGGUGUUGCAUGCACAGGAUAGAUGGGACACUAGGAAGCGGAUGCUUUGGCGUUCGUGGAGUGGACGUUGGGAUACCAUCCUUGCGACAUUGGAAUUCUAACCUGCGCCUCUGAAUCGAGGCGGGGGACAUUGUCAGGUGGGCAGUUUGACUGGGGCGGUCGCCUCCUAAAAAGUAGCGGAGGCGUUCAAAGGUUCGUUCGAUCUGGACGGAAACCAGAUGAUUGAGUGCAAACGCAUAAACGAGCCUGACUGCGAGACUGACGGGUCGAGCAGAGACGAAAGUCGGAGUUAGUGAUCCGGUGGUAUGUGAGUGGAAAUGCCAUCGCUCAACGGAUAAAA
rnacentral:rRNA from 1 species